AGACUUGUAUAGGGGAAGAUGUUAAUGAUCAUAGCUAUACUCUGGAGUCGUGUUGUUUGAGAACCAGCCCCAAAGAGGGUGGUAAACCUCAUCUAAGGCUAAAUACGACCACGAGACCGAUAGCAAACAAGUACCGUGAGGGAAAGUUGCAAAGAACUUUGAAGAGAGAGUUCAAGAGGGCGUGAAACCGCUGGGAUGGAAACGGAUAGAGUUAACAAAACUUACUCGUAUUCAGCUAAUUAUUAUAGCUCACUGGUUGGGUAUAUUUUGUUUGGUGUAUGAGUAUGCUUGCAUAUUGAUAUACAGACAAAAGUAUUGUCAAUGAGUGUAUAAAGGUUAUAAUAAUUGGUGUAUUUAUGAGUAGUAUGCAUCGAGUACUUCGUUAAUGCAUAAAGAAUAUAUAUAUUUAGAGGACCAUUUGAAUGAAUUUGAAUGGAAACCUGAAUAUAAUAUGAAAUAUGUCAGUAAUGAAGUAUGAUUGUAACCAUCAUUGUACAGCUAAUUAUGCUUGUAUAUGAUAAUGCAACAAUGAAUUGAUAAGUGAGUAUGCAUAAAUCGCAUGCGAUUUUGCGUACAAGAAAUUAUUAAUAAUUGUAAUGCAUAAAUCAGUAAGCAAGUAUAGAAUGAUGAACUUGAUGUUAAAGUUAAUCACCUAUCCGACCCGUCUUGAAACACGGACCAAGGAGUCUAGCAUAUACGCAAGUUAUUGGGUGAAAAACCUUGAUAAUAAUAAAAGCGUAAUGAAAGUAAAGAUUAACAUAAGGUUAAUUGAUAUGUGAACAAUUAUUAUAAUGUGAAUAAUAAUAAUUAGUGCAACAUAGCCCCGUCUAUAAUUGCAUGCAAUAAGGCGGAGGUAGAGCGUAUAUGCUGGACCC
rnacentral:rRNA from 1 species